AGAGUGGCGAAAUUGGUAGACGCAGGGGAUUCAAAAUCCCCCGGUGGCAACACUGUGCCGGUUCGAGUCCGGCCUCU
rnacentral:ncRNA from 14 species